rnacentral:lncRNA from 1 species
GGAGAGAGGAAGAAGGGGUGAGAGGGAGAAACCUGCCGCCGCUCGCCGCCUCUUUGUCUGCUCCGGGACUUGGAACAAAAGGGGGAACUCUGAUGAACUCUCUUUCCUCCCCUCUCCCCCGGACGCCGGGGUAUCUCCCUCUCGCAACUUUGCCGCCCCGACUUUCUCUGCUGUCAGGCCGGGAAAAAGUGUCCGAACGCCUCGUGGACUGCAGCGGGGGAAAUGUCCCUUAAAAGUGCGACGAAGUGGGGAAGAAGGUGUAAUUACUAUUAUCAGCAUCUAGAAAGCAUCAUGAAUUUGCUGGAGUACUUCCUAGCACUGACCUCCUUCAUUCUGCGUUGUUCUUACUGGAUCUUUCCAUCAGCCAACAAUAUGGAAGUACCAAUACAAGGUCAAAUCAUUCCUGGAUUCAUCUGGAGUUGCUUAAAAGUUAAAUCAUUGGAAUUUUUGAUGAUACCUUUUCUAUAUGGAUUACAAUUUGAUCGCUGGGAAUUCUCCACCUUAAAGAAGUACCCUCAGGUGACUACAGAUGUGUUAACACCCAGCAUGUUCCGGUAGGAGACUUUCUGGAUGGGGAAGAUUUCCAGGUGUGAAUCAUGGCAAUACAGUGAAAGACAGUGAUUUACUGCUUUUGAGGGCGUGCAUGUAUAUGAUUAACGGAUGGAAGUGCAGGACUCCAAGAUUUACUUCCUUCCCUUUCCAGCAGAAUUACCUGAGACGAGUAAAAUCUACUGGUGGAGUCACUCCAUUAUUCUUAUCUGUGGAGAUCUAGAUCUUGAUUUGAAAGUUUCUGAGAAAAUCUUCAGCUCAGACUUGAGGGUCAACUUUACCAGCUGAAGGAGCUGUGGAGUCCAAGUGUGACUGCCAAGAGGAAUCCAGCAAAGCCAAAAAGCCCAAGCAUGUAGCCCUGCCCGAAGCACGCCACACGCAUGGAAAACCCAGAGGAAAUGAGUGAGGAUCAAUGGGAAGAAGAGAGCCAGCCAGGAAGUUGAAGAUUUGUCCAGGAGCAGAUAGCUGAAGAGAGAGAGAGAGAAGAGAGAACGGCUUACAGCUCAGGUCCUCUCUCCAUGCUUAGGAACCACUACAAAUGCUACUGCCUUGAGUCUCAUUUUGUUUCCCUCUGGAAACCACAUGUGUACCUUGUUUGCAACAGUAUGGUUCUGGAGACCAGAAGGCCAAAAUCAAAAGUAUGGGCAGGCUUGAUUUCUUUAGAAGACUCCAGCGGAGAACUGUGUCUCCUUGCUUCUGAUUCUACAUCUCCAUCCAUGGGCCACUGUUUCAGCAACCUCAGCCAGUGCAACACAACCUCAGCCAAGAAGAGUAUGCAGAGAAAGGAGUCCCCUACCUGCCACAAAACUGUUGUCUGAAAACUGUCUCAUAUUGUCUCAAGUUGUCAUUCAUUGUGAAUUAGACCUGUUUAACAUGUAAUCUGCAACAUGCUUCACUGUCUAAUUUUCCAGAGCCCCUCAUAUAAGGAACUGUAUUAUUGGUAUAAUCAUCAUGGUGAAGAAGUUGGUAUGUGGGGGAGAGAUGACAGAAACAGAGAGUAAGUCAGAGCUGGCUGCCUGACAGAUAAAAAGGAAAUGACCAAAAAAAAAAAAAAAGACACAGAAGAA